AAGUUUUCAAUAAUAUAAUAAUUGUGAAAUAACAUGAAUCAAGUUUCAAUGAUUAAAUGACUGAACCAAUGAUAUUGGAUGUCAACAAUUAACAUGAACAAGUUUAACUGAAACCUAUGGUAAUGAUGGUGAUCAGCCUUUCAUACCUGAUGAACAUAAACAACAUGCAUAAUGUGCGAAUCAAUAAAUUAUUGACGUGGUAUAAUCAACAAUAAUUAACCACUAACAUGCUUUGAAUUAACAACUCAAGUUGAGUUAGGAAACUUGCACAAUAAUUAGAAGUUCAAGU
rnacentral:lncRNA from 1 species